CCAAUCCUCCUCCUAUUUUUCUUCCCCAUCCCGCCGCCCCCAAAAUCCUCUACCCCCAAUUUUCUUUCUGUGCCCCAACCUUGGCCAUCCACCCUCCAAAAUCCUCCACUAUAACCCAAUAUGCCUUGUCAUCCAUCCUCACCAAUUUCUUAUUUCCUAACAUCCAAAUUUCAUCGGUCGUCACCAAUUUCUUAUUCUCCUAUGGUCAGCCAAGGGCUUUAUAUGAGAGGCUGAAGGGCAAUAGUGGCAAUCAGGGUGGAUUUGAUUUCAUGUGCCCCAGCUCAUUGUCAAUAGCAGGCAACAGUGAUGCCAUGCGAACAAGAACAGAAAUGGCAAAAUUGCUUGCCAAUCGGUUGGAAACGGUUAAGAACGAGAAUUUAAUUAUAGUGCCAUGCAACCCGGGAUUUCAUUGGGUUCUUGUUGCUAUUGACAUGAAGACUUUAACAGUGUAUUAUCUGGACUCCUUAAGGAGAGAUAUUGGAGAAGAUUUAAAAGAAGUAGUGCAAAAGGACCGAUUCAACCGGGCACCUUUGAAUGUGGGUAUUACCUCAUGGGAUACAUGAAAGAUAUAGUUGAGAAUGGGCUGACAUUACUAAAAAUAAAUUUCAUGGGAAAAGAAAGAUACACACAAGCCGAGAUGGAUGAAAUUAGAGGAGAAUGGGCAAUGUAUUUAUCAAAAUUUUUUUAGACUUUCUUGGACCCAGUCCGACCGGUUUGUACCAGAGUUUUAAGUUUUUACCAACCUUCCUCCCCGUACUGGACUGGUGAGUGGCACUCUCUUUCUCAGAUAGAAUUUCUAAAAUUCCCCCCCUAUUUUUCUAUUUUCUUGAUGAAAGAGCACAUGGCUGCAUUUCUUCUAUUUCUUGGUGUGCCUGUUCAAGAUCAUCCACUUUACCCUCUAAACCCUUUGAACUCUCUAUUAUUUUAUCUUUUAUUCCCCUUCCUGCAUGUUAUAUUGUGCUCAUGGAUUAUUCUUCUUUUUAAAUUGUUGGGUUUAUGUGCUUUUCCUGGACUUGACUGCUUGGUUCAUAAGUUAACUCAAGAGAGUGAGAAAAAGUAAAUAUUCUUUUGUUUUGCUGUAAUCUCUACGGUUAAUAAAGGCUGACUGAAAUUUUUAACUUAAACCGCACUUAAUUUUCCAAUUCAAGAUAGACUGAGAGUUUGUAUCUCGUUUGAAGUCAAAAUUUUAGGUUACAAUGGUUUUCACUUGUUUGUAAAUUAUUGGAUCAUAUGUUUUGACGACUAAUGUAUGAAAACUUUAGAUUUUCUUUCUUCCUUCC